UUUGUUUAAGAUUUUUGUUUAAUUUGGUAUAUUCUAUGGUUUUUUUGGAAAUCAAACUGAUUAUUCGAUUAGAUUUUUUUGAGUUUUGAUUUGAAUCAGUUUUGUGGAGUAGUUCUGAGCUGCAUUUGUGUGAUUUUGCUUGAUUUUAGUAGAUUAGGUUUUUUUGUGUAAUUUUGGGUCGAUUUUCUUUUGUCACAAAUUCAAUUAUGAGUUGUAUGUAGCAGUAAUUACGCUUUAAUUGAGCUUUUUCAUGCUUAUUUGGGCUUCAUAUGAGUGUAAUUAUGUCAAAAUUUGACUUAAUUUCUUUGUAUGGCAUUCUUUGAUCUACAUUUGUGUAUAUUUUUGUUGAUUUGAGUAAAUUAGGUUUUUUUUUUUUUUUGUGAUUUUAGCUUGAUUUUGCAUCUUUGAUAAUAAAACUUGGAUAGUUGUUGGAUUUUUUACAGUCGAAUAAUGAUAAUUUAGGUUUUAGUUUUUAAUCGGACUGGGAAAGUGAUUGUUGAUGUUGCUGAAGGAGAUGUCGAAGAUGUGAACAGAGCAGUAUCUGCUGCUUGGAAAGCAUUCGAUGAAGGACCAUGGCCAAAGAUGAUUGCUUAUGAAAGAUCAAAAAUCCUUUUGAAGUUUGCAGAUCUUAUUGAAAAGCAUAAUGAUGCGAUUGCUGCUUUAGAAACAUGAGAUAGUAGAAAGCCUUAUGAGCAAGUUGCCAAUAUUGAAAUACCUAUGGUUGCACGCCUUUUCCGGUACUAUGCUGGUUGGGCAGAUAAGAUACACGGUCUCACCUUUCCUGUUGAUGGACCGUAUCAUGUACAGACUCUGCAUGAACCAAUUGGUGUAGCAGGGUAGAUUAUUCCAUGGAACUUUCUACAGAAGGUGGAAUAUGGAGGAUGCGGAAGCCGCGCAGCAAGGUAUGGAAUCCAAGUGGCUCGUCCAUUAGGAUCUUUUCAGGGUCAGUUUCUUCCCCGGCCUGAUUACAUAUGAGCUACUGUCAGCUGCUCCCAAAUAUACUACUUAUUAGACCUUGGGCUCUUUGUAGACACAAAAACCUGAUGAGAGGUGCAAAUUCUAGUAAUCCUUGAACAAUCAUCAAGGAUUGUGAGAAAGUAAUGAGCACCAGUUAUGGUAGCUUGCCAAUAAGGGCCCUAGAGGUCAACAUGUAUUAACUCAAAAGGAAAAGUAGCAUGAGAUUUUGACAAAGGAAAAGGAGAUUUGUGAGCUUUAGCAAAAACACAUGAUUCACAACAAAAAUCAAUUGUCUUAAUAGAAUCAAAAGGAACAGUCAAUUUAGACAUAAUUUGUACAGAAAUAUGACCAAGCCUAGCAUGCAAUAAACUAAGCUUGGGACAGAAGCACUAGCUUGUAAGGAAAGUACAGAAGAAGAACUAUUGAAACAGGAAAAGAAGAAGAACAACUGAACUUGUAUAAUCCAGCUUGUUUAGAUCUAAGAGCUCUAAUUUGCUUAGUUGUAGAGUCCUGA